rnacentral:rRNA from 1 species
GAUGAACGCUGACAGAAUGCUUAACACAUGCAAGUCAACUUGAACUUCGGUUUGGGUGGCGGACGGGUGAAUAACGCGUAAAGAACUUGCCUCACAGUUAGGGACAACAUUUGGAAACGAAUGCUAAUACCUAAUAUUAUGAUUUUAGGGCAUCCUAGAAUUAUGAAAGCUAUAUGCACUGUGAGAGAGCUUUGCGUCCCAUUAGCUAGUUGGAGAGGUAACGGCUCACCAAGGCGAUGAUGGGUAGCCGGCCUGAGAGGGUGAUCGGCCACAAGGGGACUGAGACACGGCCCUUACUCCUACGGGAGGCAGCAGUGGGGAAUAUUGGACAAUGGACCAAGAGUCUGAUCCAGCAAUUCUGUGUGCACGAUGAAGUUUUUCGGAAUGUAAAGUGCUUUCAGUUGGGAAGAAAAAAAUGACGGUACCAACAGAAGAAGUGACGGCUAAAUACGUGCCAGCAGCCGCGGUAAUACGUAUGUCACAAGCGUUAUCCGGAUUUAUUGGGCGUAAAGCGCGUCUAGGUGGUUAUGUAAGUCUGAUGUGAAAAUGCAGGGCUCAACUCUGUAUUGCGUUGGAAACUGUGUAACUAGAGUACUGGAGAGGUAAGCGGAACUACAGGUGUAGAGGUGAAAUUCGUAGAUAUUUGUAGGAAUGCCGAUGGGGAAGCCAGCUUACUGGACAGAUACUGACGCUGAAGCGCGAAAGCGUGGGUAGCAAACAGG